AUAGAUCAUAGUGCCUGGAAUGGCUUAUGGUCCAAACAGUCUACUGCCAUGGGAUGGGACUGCGGCCUAUCAGCUUGUUGGUGAGGUAAUGGCCCACCAAGGCGAUUACAGGUACGGGCUCUGAGAGGAGAAGCCCGGAGAUGGGUACUGAGACACGGACCCAGGCCCUAUGGGGCGCAGCAGGCGAGAAACCUUAGCAAUGUGCGAAAGCACGACUGGGUCAGUCCGAGUGAUUCCUGAUAAAGGAGUCUUUUGCCUGUCCUAAAAACACAUUUGUAUAAGGGGUGGGCAAGUCUGGUGUCAGCCGCCGCGGUAAUACCAGCACCUCGAGUGGUCAGGACGUUUAUUGGGCCUAAAGCAUCCGUAGCCGGCGCUGCAAGUCUUCGGUUAAAUCCACCUGCUCAACAGAUGGGCUGCUGGAGAUACUACAGCGCUAGGGAGUGGGAGAGGCAGACGGUAUUCAGUGGGUAGGGGUAAAAUCCUCUGAUCCAUUGAGGACCACCAGUGGCGAAGCGUCUGCCAGAACACGUUCGACGGUGAGGGAUGAAAGCUGGGGAGCAACGAUAGAUACCAGUAGUCCCAGCUGUAAACGAUGCAACU
rnacentral:rRNA from 1 species